AAAACUGUUCUCUUUUAUAACAGUCCAUUUCUGACUCACAGCAGAGAACAAACCCCCACUCCGUUGUAUUUGGAGACUGGCCUCCCUGUGAAUGUGGUAGCUUCCUUUAUUACUCAGUGGCCAGCUCACUUAGGGCUGAGAUGAAGGAGAGGACUACUUGAAGCUACUGCGUGCUUUUGUUUGUGUCUGAGUGGCAUUAAGAUGAAGUCUGGAGGAGCUAAGAGAAGGACAUAGGCGAGGUUCAACAGCCUUCCAAGGUACAGGAAGGUGGAUGAUGAGGACGAAGGCUGACUGACUAGGUUUUAAGGUUUUUUGUU